rnacentral:rRNA from 1 species
CGCUGUGCAUUCGUGUGNGGUGCUCGUCYCUUSGCGAGGCUCGCGGAGUGCGUGCACUCCUCCCUUAGUAAAACACCGCGACCCGUUGCGGGUGGGUCGAACGCGCCGUGCGAUCGUCCCGCUUUGAUUCGUCAAAGCGGAAUCGCGGCGUCGCGGCUCACGUGYGACGGUAAAGAACGAGGCUUGCGUCCGCUUUUAGCGUCCGCGUUGYGGCGGCGGUUUUCCUCGUCCGGUCUCGGCGCGCAAGCGUCGCGGCCGACGAGCGAGCGCCGCGUCUGCUGCAUCGGCUCGGACGGGACGCGUCCCGGUCUGCGGUGGUUUGUUUCGGGCACUCACAGGACCC